rnacentral:rRNA from 1 species
GAUGAACGCUGGCGGCGUGCUUAACACAUGCAAGUCGAACGAUGAAGCCCAGCUUGCUGGGUGGAUUAGUGGCGAACGGGUGAGUAACACGUGAGUGACCUGCCCUUGACUCUGGGAUAAGCCUGGGAAACUGGGUCUAAUACUGGAUAUGACUUCUCAUCGCAUGGUGGGGGGUGGAAAGAUUUAUUGGUCUUGGAUGGACUCGCGGCCUAUCAGCUUGUUGGUGAGGUAAUGGCUCACCAAGGCGACGACGGGUAGCCGGCCUGAGAGGGUGACCGGCCACACUGGGACUGAGACACGGCCCAGACUCCUACGGGAGGCAGCAGUGGGGAAUAUUGCACAAUGGGCGCAAGCCUGAUGCAGCGACGCCGCGUGAGGGAUGACGGCCUUCGGGUUGUAAACCUCUUUCAGUAGGGAAGAAGCGAGAGUGACGGUACCUGCAGAAGAAGCGCCGGCUAACUACGUG